rnacentral:rRNA from 1 species
AGGACAAACGCUGGCGGAAUGUAUUAGGCAUGCAAGUCGCACGAGCCUUCGGGCUAGUGGCGGACGGGUGAGUAACACGUGGGUAACCUGCCUCGUAGUGGGGAAUAACUCGCCGAAAGGCGAGCUAAUACCGCAUAACACCCCCGGUGAGAAUCCGGGCGGUAAAAGCUCUGGCGCUACGAGAGGGGCCCGCGGCCGAUUAGCUAGUUGGUGGGGUAAUGGCCUACCAAGGCGACGAUCGGUAGCUGGUCUGAGAGGAUGGUCAGCCACACGGGGACUGAGAUACGGCCCCGACUCCUACGGGAGGCAGCAGCUAAGAAUCUUGCGCAAUGGGCGAAAGCCUGACGCAGCAAUUCCGCGUGGGGGACGAAGGCCCUCGGGUCGUAAACCCCUUUUGUGAAGGAGAAGUUCUGACGGUACUUCACGAAUAAGACACGGCUAACUACGUGCCAGCAGCCGC